GACGAACGCUGGCGGCGUGCUUAACACAUGCAAGUCGAACGGAAAGGCCCUGCUUUUGUGGGGUGCUCGAGUGGCGAACGGGUGAGUAACACGUGAGUAACCUGCCCUUGACUUUGGGAUAACUUCAGGAAACUGGGGCUAAUACCGGAUAGGAGCUCCUGCUGCAUGGUGGGGGUUGGAAAGUUUCGGCGGUCGGGGAUGGACUCGCGGCUUAUCAGCUUGUUGGUGGGGUAGUGGCUUACCAAGGCUUUGACGGGUAGCCGGCCUGGGAGGGUGACCGGGCACAUGGGGACUGAGAUACGGCCCAGACGCCAACGGGAGGCAGCAGUGGGGAAUAUUGCACAAUGGGCGGAAGCCUGAUGCAGCAACGCCGCGUGCGGGAUGACGGCCUUCGGGUUGUAAACCGCUUUCGCCUGUGACGAAGCGGGAGUGACGGUAAUGGGUGAAGAAGCACCGGCUAACUACGUG
rnacentral:rRNA from 1 species